AACGAACGCUGGCGGCAUGCCUAACACAUGCAAGUCGAACGAGACCUUCGGGUCUAGUGGCGCACGGGUGCGUAACGCGUGGGAACCUGCCUUUAGGUUCGGAAUAAACUCAGAGAAAUUUGAGCUAAUACCGGAUGAUGUCUUCGGGACCAAAAGAUUUAUCGCCUUUAGAUGGGCCCGCGUAAGAUUAGCUAGUUGGUGGGGUAAAGCCUACCAAGGCGACGAUCUUUAGCUGGUCUGAGAGGAUGAUCAGCCAACACUGGGACUGAGACACGGCCCAGACUCCUACGGGAGGCAGCAGUGGGAAUAUUGGACAAUGGGCGAAAGACCUGAUCCAGCAAUGCCGCGUGAGUGAUG
rnacentral:rRNA from 1 species